ensembl:snRNA U6 U6 spliceosomal RNA
GUACUCGCUUCAGCAGCACACAUACUAAAAUUGGAACGAUACAGAGAAGAUUAGCAUGGUCCCUGCACAAGGAUGGUACGCAAAUUUGUGAAGUGUUCCAUAUUUUG